AUAUAUAAUAAUCAGUUAAAAACAAUUUAAAAAACAAAUUUAAAACUUAUAUAAAGGAUUGAAAAAUAAUUUCCUAUCAGAGUUUAUAACAAGCUCACUCUCAAUUAAAACUACUUACAAUUACAACACAUCAUCUAGGAAAUAAAAAUACACCACUCGCAUGCACCAUAAUUAAUUAUUCUGAUUUCAUUUUCAACAAAACCUUAUAUACCAACAUACCAGAAAAUAACCAUUGCAAUGUUUUUGUCUUAGAUUCAAAGUACAAACUUCUCAGGUAUUAAACUAUCUACUCAUCAUUAGCAUGAAGAGUGCUCAAGUCAUAAACUUAUUAAUUUAAAAAAGAUGACAUCUAUACAAACAUGGCCCCCAAGCUUCUAAUAUACUUUGCCCAAACUAACCCUGAAUUCAUAGUGGCGCGAUUGCGAUUUAGACGCGAUAAAUACAAAAUACAGUAAAUAUGAUAUCGCAUUCAUAGUUACCGAUCGCCGCGAUUUUUUCAAAACACAAAUCAUUUUGUGAUUAUCGCGAGAUUUUCAAAUAGUGCUUCGUUAAAUACAGAUUUUGGUGAAUAUAGCUCAAAAUUUUUGAUUUUGCGCUACUUUUAAAUUUAGCGCUAAUUUUUUAUUAAUUGAAAUGAAUUCAAUGACAACCUUUUUUGCUGAUAUAAAGCCAAAAAAAUAGAUAAAAUAGCUUUUAUAGAUGCAAAUGAUAUAUUUAAUGAAAUAACAGGAGGUAUACAUGAAUGUGAUCUCAUCGAUAGUGAGAAUAUAUCAGAUGAUAUAUUUAUUCCCAAAGAUUCUGCAGCACUUAAUCUUAGUAAUGAUUCUGUUAUUAUUAUAAAUGUCCUAAGAGAAAGAACAAUGAUAUGGGAAAUUAAUGAAAAUAAGAAGCAGAUAAAGCAUUAAUAACCUUGGAAAUGCUUAAAAGUAAAUCAAAAGAACAUGCAAUAUGUUUAAUGUUAAAAGAAAAAUUAGAUGAUUGUACCAAAGAGGAAAAAAAAGAAAUAACAAAUGAAAUACUUGAUAUUAUAAAAGAUUAUUGAUUAAAAUUAUUUUGUAUAUAUUUUUGUUAUUUGAAAUA